CGGUGACGUUUCCCCGUAAGGACUGCUUUGGGAGCAGGAGGUCGGCGGUUCGAAUCCGCCCGCCCCGA
rnacentral:tRNA from 1 species